rnacentral:tRNA from 1 species
GGGGAUGUAGUUAAAAAUAACAUCUAAGUUGCAAUUAGAAAGAACUACUAUUAGUCUUCCUCA